UUGCCCUAGUAACGGCGAGUGAAGCGGCAACAGCUCAAAUUUGAAAUCUGGCUCCUUUGGGGUCCGAGUUGUAAUUUGUAGAGGGUGCUUUGGCGUUGGUUGUGGUCUAAGUUCCUUGGAACAGGACGUCACAGAGGGUGAGAAUCCCGUACGUGGCCGCCAGCCUCCGCCGUGUAAAGCCCCUUCGAUGAGUCGAGUUGUUUGGGAAUGCAGCUCUAAAUGGGAGGUAAAUUUCUUCUAAAGCUAAAUAUUUGCCAGAGACCGAUAGCGCACAAGUAGAGUGAUCGAAAGAUGAAAAGCACUUUGGAAAGAGAGUCAAAAAGCACGUGAAAUUGUUGAAAGGGAAGCGCUUGCAGCUAGACGUGCCUUGGGUUGAUCAGCCGGACUUUUGCCCGGUGCACUCUUCCUUUGGCAGGCCAGCAUCAGUUUGGGCGGCUGGAUAAAGGUCUGUUAAACGUGACUUCCUUCGGGGAGAGCUUAUAGGGCAGACGACAUGCAGCCAGCCUGAACUGAGGUCCGCGCAUCUGCUAGGAUGCUGGCGUAAUAGCUGUAAGCGGCCCGUCUUGAAACACGGACCAAGGAGUCUAACAUCUAUGCGAGUGUUUGGGUGUCAAGCCCGAGCGCGUAAUGAAAGUAAACGGAGGUGGGAACCUUUUAGGUGCACCAUCGACCGAUCCUGAUGUCUUCGGAUGGAUUUGAGUAAGAGCAUAGCUGUUGGGACCCGAAAGAUGGUGAACUAUGCCUGAAUAGGGUGAAGCCAGAGGAAACUCUGGUGGAGGCUCGCAGCGGUUCUGACGUGCAAAUCGAUCGUCAAAUUUGGGCAUAGGGGCGAAAGA
rnacentral:rRNA from 2 species